GAGGGGAUAGCUCAAGUGGUAGGGCGCGUGCUUAGCGUGCACGAGGUCCUGGGUUCAAUCCCCAGCACCUCC
rnacentral:tRNA from 1 species